GAGAAGGGGAGCUGCGCCGGGCGCGAGAGAUUCGGUUAACCGCAGCCCAAGACCUUCUGGGGUAAUCCUGGGUGAAGCCUUUUCCCAGCAGCCCAGCUCCGCCGCAUCGCUUCGUUUCUCUCCUGCCUGCGGGGGCUGGAGCCAAGGCACAACUCUUAGGUGGCAGGCAGAGUUGGGCCUAAAUGAGCACCAUCAAAAUGAAGUUAUUAAUUAUAUGCGUUUUGCUCGUUCAAAGAGAGGCUUGAGACUCAAAACUGUAGAUUCCUGCUUCCAAGACCUCAAGGAGAGCAGGCUGGUGGAGGAGACCUUCACCAUAGAUGAAGUCUCUGAAGUCCUCAAUGGAUUACAAGCUGUGGUUCAUAGUGAGGUGGAAUCUGAGCUCAUCAACACUGCCUAUACCAAUGUGUUACUUCUGCGACAGCUGUUUGCACAAGCUGAGAAGUGGUAUCUUAAGCUACAGACAGACAUCUCUGAACUUGAAAACCGAGAAUUAUUAGAACAAGUUGCAGAAUUUGAAAAAGCAGAGAUUACAUCUUCAAACAAAAAGCCCAUCUUAGAUGUCACAAAGCCAAAACUUGCUCCACUUAAUGAAGGUGGAACAGCAGAACUCCUAAACAAGGAAAUUUUAAGACUUCAAGAAGAGAAUGAGAAAUUGAAGUCAAGGUUGAAGACCAUUGAAAUACAGGCUACAAAUGCACUGGAUGAAAAGUCAAAACUAGAAAAAGCACUG
rnacentral:sRNA from 1 species